rnacentral:rRNA from 1 species
GACGAACGCUGUCGGCGUGCCUAAUACAUGCAAGUAGAACGCUGAAGAGAGGAGCUUGCUCUUCUUGGAUGAGUUGCGAACGGGUGAGUAACGCGUAGGUAACCUGCCUUGUAGCGGGGGAUAACUAUUGGAAACGAUAGCUAAUACCGCAUAACAAUGGAUGACCCAUGUCAUUUAUUUGAAAGGGGCAAAUGCUCCACUACAAGAUGGACCUGCGUUGUAUUAGCUAGUAGGUGAGGUAACGGCUCACCUAGGCGACGAUACAUAGCCGACCUGAGAGGGUGAUCGGCCACACUGGGACUGAGACACGGCCCAGACUCCUACGGGAGGCAGCAGUAGGGAAUCUUCGGCAAUGGGGGCAACCCUGACCGAGCAACGCCGCGUGAGUGAAGAAGGUUUUCGGAUCGUAAAGCUCUGUUGUAAGUCAAGAACGAGUGUGAGAGUGGAAAGUUCACACUGUGACGGUAGCUUACCAGAAAGGGACGGCUAACUACGUGCCAGCAGCCGCGGUAAUACGUAGGUCCCGAGCGUUGUCCGGAUUUAUUGGGCGUAAAGCGAGCGCAGGCGGUUUGAUAAGUCUGAAGUUAAAGGCUGUGGCUCAACCAUAGUUCGCUUUGGAAACUGUCAAACUUGAGUGCAGAAGGGGAGAGUGGAAUUCCAUGUGUAGCGGUGAAAUGCGUAGAUAUAUGGAGGAACACCGGUGGCGAAAGCGGCUCUCUGGUCUGUAACUGACGCUGAGGCUCGAAAGCGUGGGGAGCGAACAGGAUUAGAUACCCUGGUAGUCCACGCCGUAAACGAUGAGUGCUAGGUGUUGGAUCCUUUCCGGGAUUCAGUGCCGCAGCUAACGCAUUAAGCACUCCGCCUGGGGAGUACGACCGCAAGGUUGAAACUCAAAGGAAUUGACGGGGGCCCGCACAAGCGGUGGAGCAUGUGGUUUAAUUCGAAGCAACGCGAAGAACCUUACCAGGUCUUGACAUCCCGAUGCUAUUUCUAGAGAUAGAAAGUUACUUCGGUACAUCGGUGACAGGUGGUGCAUGGUUGUCGUCAGCUCGUGUCGUGAGAUGUUGGGUUAAGUCCCGCAACGAGCGCAACCCCUAUUGUUAGUUGCCAUCAUUCAGUUGGGCACUCUAGCGAGACUGCCGGUAAUAAACCGGAGGAAGGUGGGGAUGACGUCAAAUCAUCAUGCCCCUUAUGACCUGGGCUACACACGUGCUACAAUGGUUGGUACAACGAGUUGCGAGUCGGUGACGGCAAGCUAAUCUCUUAAAGCCAAUCUCAGUUCGGAUUGUAGGCUGCAACUCGCCUACAUGAAGUCGGAAUCGCUAGUAAUCGCGGAUCAGCACGCCGCGGUGAAUACGUUCCCGGGCCU